UACGUAGGUGGCAAGCGUUGUCCGGAUUUACUGGGCGUAAAGAGCGCGCAGGCGGCUGGUCAAGUCCGAUGUGAAAGCUCCCGGCUUAACUGGGAAAUUGCAUCGGAAACUGAUCGGCUGGAAGGUGGGGAGAGGGGUAGCGGAAUUCCAGGUGUAGCGGUGAAAUGCGUAGAGAUCAGGAGGAACACCUAUGGCGAAGGCAGCUCGCUGGGACGUUACUGACGCUGAGACGCGAAAGCGUGGGGAGCAAACAGG
rnacentral:rRNA from 1 species